rnacentral:lncRNA from 1 species
GGGGAACAUAGGAAUUAGAAUAUUUUUUGCAGGGAAAGUUGCAGGUUUAGAAACAAAAUUUGUUAUCGAGAAUGUUUUGCACUGAGAACAGAUGGUUUCCUACAACAUUUUGGCGUCUGCUUUAAGCUUUUAAGGUAUUUGCAGCUAAUGCUUGUAGCCAAAUAAUUCAUUCAUAACUGAAUGCAUAUCACUGAUGUGGUAAUGGCUCAUUGUCUCAAUUGCCCAUUGUGCUAGGGCUAUUAAAUUAAUUAAUUAGACACAUGCAUCGAGUGUAAGUAUACAAGUGGUAUACAUAUGUAUGUAUCUUGGGCACUUGUUGGCUCUCGUUGCUAGGCAAAUAUGAGUUUAUUUGUAAUUAAAUUUCACAAAUUAUUGACAGCCAUUUCAUGUACUCCACUGCACGUUGGUUGCCGCUCUUCGAUAGCAGAAACAACAGCCUAAUCUAGGUCGAUUUAGCGCUCUCAAGAUUGUGUUUAUUUAUGGCUUUUUGUUGGAAUCAACUGUAUGCUUAUCAGUGAAUGUUAUGUAUUAAGCAAAAUUUAGUUAAUAAAACUCACAUUUUUGUUGGUUUCUUUUUUGGGAGUUUUUGUUUAUUUAAUACUUAUUUUAUAUCUUGGGUAUUUAAGUUAUUAACGGCUAAGUUUUUGUUAAGCUUUCAAUUUAUUUGCACAACACACAAACCAAGAGCAUUUUGAUAGCGAAUCGGGGAUAUUAGCACGGAAUUUAUAUACGAUAACUCAACAAAUUAGUCACAGACUGCUACCAAUGAAGUGUUGUUUUUGGUGUUGAUUUUCGUUGGUAGGAUCACCGCACUUUGAUGGACUGGACCUCCAGAAAUAUCAUAAACGCCGCAAUGGCCACAUAGACGGCAACGAUGAUGAAGACAUGCAGAGGGCUGGCCGUGAAGACCUGAACCACCAGAAUCACGGUACCCACAGUGAAGACGCUGCUCAGGAAGAAGAUCAUCAGGAUGGUGGACCAAUUGCGAAACCAGGCAUGCUUCUUUUCGGGAGGCGGGACAUAUAUCGGCUUCAGCGGGCUGUAUUCCUUUCGAUAUUGGGUCUCGUAGCCGCUGGUAAAGUCGGUUUCAUCGUGGGCCAGGCCCGUGCUCGCUUUUAUCUCGUCCGUGUCCAUUUCGAAACGCGUUCGCCGCUCAACUACUGGUAACUGGCGGCGCAGGGAGCGUGAAAGAGCGUUUUUCCCUAUAUCUGUUUCCAUUUCAGUUGAUUACCAAUCACCAGCGCACAAGCAGUUGUUGGCUGCGUCAUUAUCACAACUGCAAAAGGUGUUAAUUCAAGCAACAACGAAGCAAACAGAAAAACAGAGAAACAGCCAGAGCUGACAAUCUUUUUUUUAUGUCAUUUUGUGAGUCAGAUAAGAUACUCGAAUUCUCUCAAGAUACCCGAGAACAAGACAACUGCAGAACUCCCAAAAACACAAAAGAGAGCGAGAGAUACUGAAAACCAAUACAAAGCAAAAGGCGAGACAGCUCUCUUGGCGCAUGGAAUCUUAUCAAUUCGUACUAUUUUUGACUCUAGACAAGACUCUCCAGAGUGUGCUCCGUUUGACCAAAGCAUUUCGGUCUUUAAAAUUCUCUUAAACUUUUGCGAUAAUUACUCAGUGAUAAUUUUUGUUUGCUUUUGCAAACAAAGUUGUGGUUUCGGCUUUCUGCUCAAUGUCCCAUCAAUGACGUUGCAAUGCCUCAUGUGUUAUUGUUUACUUCCAGUCUGUGACAUAUUUGCUUAUAAAGAGCCAGAGUAAUUCAAUUGUGACUUUUUCCUUUAGCUGAGGUUAUUGAUAACCAUAAACAUAUGAAUAAACGAAAUAUGAUAAACAGUUAAAGUAGUUAAGGUCUGGCGAAGCCUCCUAUGUACACACGUAUAUGUUACUUAAAGCCGAUAUAUGUAUGUAUGUUUAUGUGGAUUUGGCAUUGAGUUCUUUGAGCAGUUUGUUCACUUUCUCCCCACUUACGCUACUUCUUAACGAUACGCUUUCACCGCUGCCAUUUCAGCAUAACUUCAGAAAAACUUCUUGACGAAUAAAGAUUGAAAAUGUGUUAUCAAAACAUAAACAUAAACAUAAACAUACUCAGUUUUCUAUUGCUCAGUUUUUCAGCUGACGCUUCUUGAGAAUUGUCUAAGGGCAGUUUCUGAGCAAUGCAUCUCAUAUUGUCCGAGAGCAACAAAAGAGAGAGAGAGAGAGAGAGAGAGAACCAAUAGUGUAGUUCGGUUACAAGGAAAAAUAAUAAUAUUUCCAAAUUUUAAUCUAAAUCUGAAAUACAAAUAUCCUAAGUAAUUCAAUGAUAUUAUUUUAUGAACAUUUUUGGCGUCUGCUCGCAAGCCUGUACAUUUUUUUGGUUGCAGUGUACACAUUCAGCUGCAUUUUUUUCUUGGAACUCAUAUGCUGGAAGCGCAUACUGGAAGCGCGGGAAUGAAAAACUUCCAUUGAACUUGCUUCCCAGUAUGUUUAGUGCCUUGAAGCUGCAAAGAUCAAAACGAAUUACAAUUUGCAAUGCGGUAAGAUCAAUUUUUUUAUUGUGUUACAGUUGUGCUUAAAUUUAUAAAAAUGUCGUAAUAUUUUUAGUGACGACACUGAGAUAUUGAUAGAUGGGGAGAGUGAUUGUCCCAUUACACAGAUGGAUCAACAUGAACAUGUGUCAAUGGAAAAUCAGCAGUCGGAAGAGCUGGAGUAUGUUCAGGAGGAGCCACGAUCGUAUCGAUUUAUGCAUAAUUGGAAUACUGUUGGAAUUUGCCUAAUUUAUAAUCUAUGCAUAUUUGUGUUGCUGGUGUACAUAUAUUUAUACAAGCGAAAUCAUUAAAAAGGAAAGAUUUGGCAUACAUUUAACAAUUAGCUCAAGAAGAAACAUGUCCUUCAAAUAUCCAGACAGAAAUUUGUCAACAUCAAAGAAAGGGAAGAAAAGGAAAGCUGCUUUUGCGAUCUCCGAC